AACCGGUUCCAGAACACAGAAAAGUUCAGUAAAAUAGUUUUAAAGCAAUCUAAGCCUUCUGAACUUAUUCUAAUUAAGUAUCUUUACCACAAAUGAUCUUUUCUUCAUACCUUAGGUGCCGAACUUUACGAAUGAAUCUUUGUUCUUCAAUUUGAAUCUUUUCUUCAAAAACUUCCGCGAUCAACUCUUCAAGACUCCAAUCAACUUUACGAAAUUCGCCAACCUAUAAAAUCCUUAACAAUCUCCCCCUUUGGCGAUUUCGUGACAAAAUAUACUACAAUGCUUGUACACAACUCAGAAAAAAAUAAAAAGAAGAUCAUCGCAAUCAUCAAACGAUAAUCUCCUGCAUGAUCGAUCCAAUAAACGAAAAUUACAAUUUUCAUAAUCUUAAUACAGACUCUAUGGCUUAGACGACAUGGAGUCUUGAAGUCUUGAAUUAUACCUGCAAAAACAUUCUCAAAACAUAAUCAAGAUUCAAGUAUACUUAUCAAGAUCAAACAUAAAUGCUAAACCAAACAAAGUUAAACGCUAAACUAAACAAAGUUUCAAGUCAUAGUUCAUAGUCAAGCACGUAAGCCAACAUCAAAUAUAAAUUUACACAACUAACACAACUAAACAAAGUUCAACUAAACAAAGUGCAUCAUCUAAGCUAAAUGUGUCAUCAUCUAAAUGCGUCAUCAUCAUCAAGAACCAUCAUAUCAACUUAUUGAGUCACACUCAUUACAUGUUGUUUAUAGUAGCUUCCCUAUGGUUGUUCAUGAUAGCUUACUUGUUGUUAUUGUUCAUAGUAGCUUACUACCCAGCUUUAAUUAUCGUUCAUGCAUGCAUGAUAUCAGAUUGAGGCAUAGCUAGAUAUUCAUGAUUCUACCUACUUGCUUACGUUUCCUUACUUGCUCAGUUAUCAUACCUGCUUUUAGUUGGUUUAGCUCUAUAUAUAUAUAUUGCAUAUAUCUCUCUAUGCCUGCUUCGACCUAGUGGGUAGAUCGGUGGAGUCGGCGGCCGAACCCACUGGGAACUGAAAGUUUAAACCCACUGGGAACUGAAAGUUUACAUAUCUGAAAUAAGAUUAAAGAGAAAAAGAAAAGAAUAUAAUAUUUUUUAUGUGGAAGAGUUUGUAUAUUAACUCUCUCUAAACUGGAGUACCUUUUAUAAGAGGCAGUAGGGCCCCUAUUGAAAGCUUACAAAAAGAUAAAAACAAAAUACUUGAAAAUAGCAUACUUGUCCUUAUUUAAAUUGGCUCUAUUCUUAUCUAAUUUGGUUUAAAAAUUUGAUCCUUCUUCUGAUUCAUUGAAACCAUCUCGAUGCUUAUGCUAACCGAAAUAGUUCGUUCAAACCAUCUCAUUCCUUAUCCUAACCGAAGUGGUUGGAACUACCUCCACCUUAUCCACAAAUGGUUGAGAUUAUUCAGAAUUUUGAUCGUCCCAGAUCAUUUGAAUUAAAUCCCACCAAACCAUAGGAAGUUAAUUCAGUUUGGAAAAAAUUCGGUAUGGAUAUAAUACGAAUAAAAUCUGUAUCCCAAUUUUUAAAUUUUGUGAGAAAUACGGGUUAAAAAAUAGAUUUGCCAAUUAUUCGGAUAUGUGAUUUAUAUGAAAACUAUACGUUCACCAAUUAAAAAUUCGGGAUAACAAAAUUAGUUAUUAAAUUAAACUUUUUUCUCUAAAUUUAUACUACUAACAUAAAUAGUUAUAAUUUUUAAGAAUGUAAAAAUAGAGAGCUACAAAACAUAGUUGAUUAAGUAAAAAAGCAAUAGCAAAGUUUAUUGUUGUCUCCAUCUUCAUAUUUUUUAUGACCCACAUAUUCUAAAAAUUCAUGUAGUUUUUUAAUAAUUCACAAAUAAUUCGGUAAUAAUUCGUGAGUUAACUAGCUAUAUUAGAGAAAGGGAUUUUACUAAAAAUUGGUACGAUCUUUCGACAGCAUAGUUUAAUAUACGUAAAUUAUUAGUGAAUAAUAAAUUUAACCUAAAAAUUUAUAUUUUAAAAUUUUUUUUGGAAAGAAAAAAUUACAUAUGAAUUGUUUUAAGUA
rnacentral:lncRNA from 1 species